AUUGCUUCUCGGCCUUUUGGCUAAGAUCAAGUGUAGUAAUUGAUUAUCUCAAGUUAAGGAGAACCCACUACAUCCCAAAGUCUCAUUCUUUGUCUGAGUCUUGACACACAUACUUCUUUCUGUGAGUAUGUCCCUAUUGCCUGCAAUUGGCAAUCUAAACAUUCAGUGAAAAUCUUCAUUAGCUUUGAAUGAACCAUGU
ensembl:snRNA U2 U2 spliceosomal RNA